rfam:Camelus ferus unplaced genomic scaffold scaffold841, whole genome shotgun sequence.
GAGGGUAUAUCUCAAGUGGUAGAGCGCAUGCUUAGCAUGCAUGAGGUCCUGGGUUCAAUCCCCAGUACCUCCU